ACGGGGGGCGUGCCUUACCAUGCAAGUCGAGCGGAAAGGCCCUUCGGGGUACUCGAGCGGCGAACGGGUGAGUAACACGUGAGUAAUCUGCCCUUCACUCUGGGAUAGCCACCGGAAACGGUGAUUAAUACCGGAUACGACCACCGUGGGCAUCCGCUGGUGGUGGAAACUUUUUUGGGUGGGGGAUGUGCUCGCGGCCUAUCAGCUUGUUGGUGGGGUAAUGGCCUACCAAGGCUUCGACGGGUAGCCGGCCUGAGAGGGUGACCGGCCACACUGGGACUGAGACACGGCCCAGACUCCUACGGGAGGCAGCAGUGGGGAAUAUUGGACAAUGGGCGGAAGCCUGAUCCAGCAACGCCGCGUGAGGGAUGACGGCCUUCGGGUUGUAAACCUCUUUCAGCACCGACGAAGCGCAAGUGACGGUAGGUGCAGAAGAAGGACCGGCCAACUACGUGCCAGCAGCCGCGGUAAUACGUAGGGUCCGAGCGUUGUCCGGAAUUAUUGGGCGUAAAGGGCUCGUAGGCGGUUUGUCGCGUCGGGAGUGAAAACACCGGGCUUAACUCGGUGCUUGCUUUCGAUACGGGCAGACUUGAGGUAUGCAGGGGAGAACGGAAUUCCUGGUGUAGCGGUGAAAUGCGCAGAUAUCAGGAGGAACACCGG
rnacentral:rRNA from 1 species